rnacentral:rRNA from 1 species
CACCGCGGUUAUACGAGAGGCCCAAGUUGAUAAUCACCGGCGUAAAGAGUGGUUAAGACCAAUAUAAAACUAGAGCCGAAAACCUCCACAGCUGUUAUACGCACUCGGGGGCAGGAAGCCCAACUACGAAAGUGGCUCUACAAAACCUGAACCCACGAAAGCUAGGGCA